GAGCCCCCUGGCUGCGUACCUCCUGCACAGUCCCUGCUAGCUCCACAUAUCCAACAGUCUUAAUGAUCAUAUGAUGGCAGGUUAAAGUCCUUCUGAGAACCAUGAGAUCGUUUCUCCAGCUGAAUUCCUGACAUUUUCUGAAGGAUUUAAGUACUCGUGAGCUAUCAGGACAAGAACGAGGCAGGUGGUCUUCUCAGUGAGGUCAUCCUGUCUGAAACAUAAGGAGAGGGGUCCUCGGAGGGGGGCCAUCCUUAUGCCCAGGCGUCAACACCAAACAAUGCAGAGCCUGCUGUGUAAGACCAGAGUGAGAUAAAUGUGAUCUAUCAACCAAUGAAUG